AUUGAACGCUGGCGGCAGGCUUAACACAUGCAAGUCGAACGAGUGGCGGACGGGUGAGUAAUGCUUGGGAAUCUUGCUUAUGGAGGGGGAUAACUACGGGAAACUGUAGCUAAUACCGCGUACCAUAGGAUGAGCCCAAGUGGGAUUAGGUAGUUGGUGAGGUAACUGCUCACCAAGCCGACGAUCUCUAGCUGGUCUGAGAGGAUGACCGUACACACGUGGCGUGAGACACGGCCCGAACUCAGACGUGAGGCAGCAGUGGGGAGUAUUGCGCGGUGGGGGCAAACUGACGCGGCCAAGCCGCGUGAAUGAAGAAGGCAUUCGGGUUGUAAAGAUCUUUCGGUAGCGAGGCGUUAAAUACAGAGGAAGCACCGGCUAACUCCGUGCCAGCAGCCGCGGUAGUAA
rnacentral:rRNA from 1 species